rnacentral:rRNA from 1 species
UACGUAGGGACCAAGCGUUGUUCGGAUUUACUGGGCGUAAAGGGCGCGUAGGCGGCGUGACAAGUCACUUGUGAAAUCUCCGGGCUUAACCCGGAACGGCCAAGUGAUACUGUCGCGCUAGAGUGCAGAAGGGGCAAUCGGAAUUCUUGGUGUAGCGGUGAAAUGCGUAGAUAUGAAGAGGAACACCUGAGGUGGAGACGGGUUGCUGGGCUGACACUGACGCUGACAGCGCGAAAGCUAGGGGGGCAAACGGG